rnacentral:lncRNA from 1 species
GUUCGACACAUAUAACAACACAGAGUUACACAUGGAGUAAAACAAACAUACAGUCAAUAAUACAGUAGAAAAAUAAGUCUAUAUACAAUGUGAGCAAAUGAGGUGAGAUACAUUUACAUUUUAGUCAUUUAGCAGACGCUCUUAUCCAGAGCGACUUACAGAGAUAAGGGAGGUAAAGGCAAUAAAUAGGCCAUGGUGGCGAAGUAAAUACAAUAUAGCAAUUAAAACACUGGAAUGGUAGAUUUGACAGUAGAUGAGUGUGCAAAGUAGAAAUACUGGGGUGCAAAGGAGCUAAAUAAAUAUAUACAGUAGGGGAAGGUGUAGUUGUUUGGGCUAUUUAUAGAUGGGAUAUGUACAAGUGCAGUGAUCUGUGAGCUGCUCUGACAGCUGGUGCUUAAAGCUAGUGUGGGAGAUAAGUGUUUCCAGUUUCAGAUAUUUUUGUAGUUCGUUCCAGUCAUUGGCAGCAGAGAACUGGAAGGAGUGGUGGCCAAAGGAGGAAUUGGCUACCUUGAAUUUCUACCUUGAAGUAGAGCCGUGGCUUUCGUGGAGCGAUGGGUAAUACUGCUUCGAGGGUGGCUGUUGUCAAUGUGUGCAGAGGGUCCCUGGGGCGAGGAGAGGGACGGAAGCAAACCAUUUUAAUCAGGAGAAUCUCCUCUUUGUAAUCAUGUAAGUCUGGGCAGCGAGCUCGCUAGAUCAGAAAUAGUCUGAAGUUUUUUUAUUUUUUCCCUAAUUUUUCAUUACGCAGACAUAAGCACAGUUGACACAAUCGAGGUGCGGAUGUUUACUUUCUACACAAGUUUUUUUUCUUCCAGUUUCGUCCGACGAACAGAUUGUAGUGGUAAAAUAAAAAGGGAUACAUUUUUUUAUGGAAUUCUAAGCAUCACUCCAGUCAAAACAGGCUCUGCGAACGUUCGAUUCCAUUAAUUUGCUAUGGGCUCGCGCUAGUGUUCCAGUUUAGCCAACGUUCUUAAGCCGUUUUUCAGCCUCGGUGAAUUUUGACUCGUUGCUGGACAAUUUAUGAAAGCACCCGAAUGUCCAUUGAGAAAGCACAACGACUAUACCAUUUAGCUAAGCAUGACAAGAAUAAUCAAGUCAAUAAACAUUGGGUAGUUAGAUAGCCUAUAGUUAAUAUACUGGCCAGUUUGAUGUAUAACUACUGUUAGGUAGCUAGCUAACAUACCAGUACAUACUGCUGUAAUGAUAUGCUAUGUGGUUCGUAAGGACAGCGUAGCUAACAAAUUGCCAGCCAACAUAAAAUGUAAGGUAAGUUAUUUGAAAAGUCAUUACUUUUUUACAUUGAGUAGCAAGCUACCCCUUGGUCUUUAGGGCAAAUCUGGUCUAGGAGGGGGGUUUUCACACCUAGCUCGGCUAGUAGACUAUUCAUUAGUGAAGGUUGAAUAGUCUAUUGUUCAGCUAUUAGCCCCCCUCCACGCGUCAUCAUUCUGCUCCUGAGUGGCUCGCUUGUGGGUGUGCUGGCAGGAUAUGGCAGCAAUUUUGGUUGUGCGUCAAUAAUUCUGCAUACAGUAGCACGUUUGCAGAAUUGUUACAUGCUGUGGAGAGAGCGAGCUGAUCAAGGGGUCGAAAAUGUAGAUAUUGCCAGAUGUUCACUGUCCGAGGAUCAGGCCGUGGAAGCUUUUUUGCUGGCAAAGUGUCCAUAACCAGAGGUUAUACCAGCUGUUUUGGUGAACCCCUCCCGCCUCUGAACUGGCUGACACAGAGGCCACAGCAUGUCACUUGGUCAGGUCAACAGGAAGCAUUAUUAAAGAGAUGCUUUACAUUGAAAUACAGACAGAGAUGUAGUAGUCCCAGAGUGACUGACCUUGUUAGAAUAAAACAAAACAAGGCUUAGUCAUGCACUCUCUCUAUCCAUCAGUCACUCGUCUGCAGGUAUGUUUUGAUGUGAGAGAGGAAGCCAGUCCCAUCAUCGCCACCUCACCCGCUCUUAAGAUAACCUUCGGGCCAACUGGGGGCCCAAGGCUGGUUAGGAGACACAGCUGAGAGAAUAUUAGGGUAGCACUGUAAUUCAUUAAUCAUAUGCUGUCUGCUGCUGUUCUAACCUCUUUCCCUUUCUGUCUUCUACACCUUUCUCCCCACCUCAUCUUUCUUCCUCAUUUUAUAAUGUGCAUUGAAGUACAGAUUGAACUUGUAUUUAUAAUACUACAAUUAUCAUAAUUAUAAUGCAUUUAUUAUGUAUUUAUAACACUUGGAU